AUGUUGAGUGGGCUAGUACCUCCUGGCCUAAAUGAAAGUGAUGUUGAGUCAAACUCUGAAGAUGAAGCUACAUUGGAGAGCUCUGGGCUUAACUUACAGGAAGAUAAAGAGGAUGGGAGCAACAGAAAAGCAGAAAUCAUAGAUUUCUCAAAAGAUGAAGCAAAAAGUGAAGCAGAGUCAAAUGUAAAUGCCUAAGAAGAGAGUCCUUCUGGAAUUCCCUUAGAUAUGUGGAAUUGAACAGUCCUCAAAUGCAGCCCAGUGGAAGGAGCUUACUCAGUAUGUUGGAGUCAAUGAUAGGUUUGACCCCCCUGUUAAAAGGAAAACCACUGAGAAGGCCUCGAAAAGAGGAUAGAGCAGGCUGUGGAGGAGUGGAAUAUUGAGAGGGCUGAAGAACUCAGCAACUAGCUAGCUACUCGAGAGCUUGGUGUAAAAAUUGCCAAAGCAGUUGUCUGCCACAAGUUUGUAAAAGCCAAAAAUGGAGACUAAAAAUUCACAGGGCUGCCUGAAAAAAGAAGAAACUCGCAUGGGGGUUUGAAGCAAAGAAGAGAUGGGCAACCAAAAGCAAUGGGAUAUAUGUA
rnacentral:lncRNA from 1 species